rnacentral:rRNA from 1 species
CGUGCCUAACACAUGCAAGUCGAGCGAGGAGAUUCCUUCGGGAUGAUCCUAGCGGCGGACGGGUGAGUAACACGUGGGCAACCUGCCUCAUAGAGAGGAAUAGCCUUCCGAAAGGGAGAUUAAUACCUCAUAACAUUGCAGUUUCGCAUGGAACAGCAAUUAAAGGAGUAAUCCGCUAUGAGAUGGGCCCGCGGCGCAUUAGCUAGUUGGUGAGGUAAUGGCUCACCAAGGCGACGAUGCGUAGCCGACCUGAGAGGGUGAUCGGCCACAUUGGGACUGAGACACGGCCCAGACUCCUACGGGAGGCAGCAGUGGGGAAUAUUGCACAAUGGGGGAAACCCUGAUGCAGCCAACGCCGCGUGAGUGAUGACGGCCUUCGGGUUGUAAAGCUCUGUCUUCAGGGACGAUAAUGACGGUACCUGAGGAGGAAGCCACGGCUAACUACGUGCCAGCAGCAGC